CUCUUUGGUACUUGAAGAGAGGAUACCCUUUGUAUGUUCACUUGAUU
rnacentral:miRNA from 1 species